GCGAGCACCCAGCCUAAAGCGAGCACCGAUCGUAAAACUUACCUAUAGAAACUUACCGCGGCCCGCGUCCCAGUGGCGUUACCCCCCUCCCCGCGCCAGUGCGCGGCAGUCGUGAUUUCACAGUGACGUGAAUAACACAGGUUGUUCGCGCCAAAAACGAUUUUCGUCAUUUUUAUGCAAAUAAACGAAGAUGGUGAAUAAAUAUAAACGCAAAACAGCAAUGUUCUUAGACUGAAAGCACAAUGAAGAAAGCAAUACCGGAGGUGGUAGAAAUGAAAAAGGCUAUAAAAACUACAGCUACAAAGUAUGGUAUCCCGCGAGCUACUUUACAGCGACACCUGAAAACAGGUUCUACCAAGAAAAAGUUAGGAAGGUUUACCAGUCUUCAGCUCAGAACAAGAGCUUGAAUUGUUAAAUUACGUAUUUGAAAUGGACAGUGUGUUUUAUGGUUUAUCGAAAGAAGAAUUUCUUUUUCACUUAAUAAAGUGCACAUAUGAAUCCC
rnacentral:lncRNA from 1 species